rnacentral:rRNA from 1 species
CAGUCGCCACGGGAAUACAGAGGCCUCAAGCGUUGUUUGGAUUCAUUGGGCGUAAAGGGUGCGUAGGUGGCUUGGUAAGUUGAAGGUGAAAUCUCGGGGCUUAACCCCGAAACUGCCUUCAAUACUGCUAGGCUCGAGGACUGUAGAGGAGAAUGGAAUUCACGGUGUAGCAGUGAAAUGCGUAGAUAUCGUGAGGAAGACCAGUGGCGAAGGCGAUUCUCUGGGCAGUUCCUGACACUGAGGCACGAAGGCCAGGGGAGCAAACGGGAUUAGAUACCCGUGUAGUCCCUGUCUCUUAUAC